GGACAGACGGGGACAUUCGUAUUGCGGCGCUAGAGGUGAAAUUCUUGGACCGUCGCAAGACGAACUAAGGCGAAAGCAUUUGUCAAGAAUGUUUUCAUUAAUCAAGAACGAAAGUUAGAGGUUCGAAGGCGAUCAGAUACCGCCCUAGUUCUAACCAUAAACGAUGCCAGCCAGCGAUUAGCCUGAGUUCCUUAAAUGACUCGGCUAGCAGCUUCCGGGAAACCAAAGCUUUUCGGUUCCGGGGGAAGUAUGGUUGCAAAGCUGAAACUUAAAGGAAUUGACGGAAGGGCACCACCAGGAGUGGAGCCUGCGGCUUAAUUUGACUCAACACGGGAAAACUUACCUGGUCAGGACACUGGAAGGAUUGACAGAUUGAGAGCUCUUUCUUGAUUCAGUGGGUGGUGGUGCAUGGCCGUUCUUAGUUGGUGGAGCGAUUUGUCUGGUUAAUUCCGAUAACGAACGAGACUCUAGCCUACUAAAUAGACUGCUCAACUUUAUAGCUGCAUCACCUUGCAGUUGCUUCGGUGGCUGUAAGGCUGUGGUGACGUUGGCAGUGCUUCUUAGAGGGACAGGCGGCGGUUCAGCCGCACGAAACAGAGCAAUAACAGGUCUGUGAUGCCCUUAGAUGUCCAGGGCCGCACGCGCGCUACACUGAAGUGAUCAGCGUGCAAUUAACGUUUCCUACUCCGUCAGGAGUGGGUAACCCGUUGAACCUUCUUCGUGAUUGGGAUAGGGGAUUGUAAUUAUUCCCCCUUGAACGAGGAAUUCCCAGUAAGCGCAAGUCAUAAGCUUGCGUUGAUUACGUCCCUGCCCCUUUGUACACACCGCCCGUCGCUACUAC
rnacentral:rRNA from 1 species